CAUAGCUCAGUAGGUAGAGCGCCUCCAAAACCGUCUAUGUUGGUUCAACUCCAUCUGCGCACCGCCA
rnacentral:tRNA from 1 species